AUUGAACGCUGGCGGCGUGCUUAACACAUGCAAGUCGAACGAAGUGGCGAACGGGUGAGUAACGCGUAAUCAACCUGCCCUUCAGAGGGGGACACCAGUUGGAAACGACUGCUAAUACCGCAUACUGAAGGAGGGGUUUGCGUCUGAUUAGCUCGUUGGAGGGGUAACGGCCCACCAAGGCGAUGAUCAGUAGCCGGUCUGAGAGGAUGAACAGCCACAUUGGGACUGGGACACGGCCCAGACUCCUACGGGAGGGAGCCGGUGGGGAUCUUCCGCAAUGGACGAAAGUCUGACGAAGCAACGCCGCGGGAGUGAUGACGGCCUUCGGGUUGUAAAGCUCUGUUAAGCGGGACGCGGUACCGGAAUAGAAAGCCACGGCUAACUACGUGCCAGCAGCCGCGGUAAUAC
rnacentral:rRNA from 1 species